rnacentral:rRNA from 1 species
GACGAACGCUGGCGGCGUGCCUAAUACAUGCAAGUCGAGCGGAUCACUGGGAGCUUGCUCCCGGUGGUUAGCGGCGGACGGGUGAGUAACACGUGGGCAACCUGCCUGUAAGACUGGGAUAACACCGGGAAACCGGUGCUAAUACCGGAUAAUCCUUUUCUGCUCAUGCAGGAAAGCUGAAAGUCGGUUUCGGCUGACACUUACAGAUGGGCCCGCGGCGCAUUAGCUAGUUGGCGAGGUAACGGCUCACCAAGGCGACGAUGCGUAGCCGACCGGAGAGGGUGAUCGGCCACACUGGGACUGAGACACGGCCCAGACUCCUACGGGAGGCAGCAGUAGGGAAUCUUCCACAAUGGACGAAAGUCUGAUGGAGCAACGCCGCGUGAGCGAUGAAGGCCUUCGGGUCGUAAAGCUCUGUUGUUAGGGAAGAACAAGUACCGGAGUAACUGCCGGUACCUUGACGGUACCUAACCAGAAAGCCACGGCUAACUACGUGCCAGCAGCCGCCGUAACAC